UACGUAGGGUGCGAGCGUUAAUCGGAAUUACUGGGCGUAAAGCGUGCGCAGGCGGUUUUGUAAGCCAGAUGUGAAAUCCCCAGGCUUAACCUGGGAACUGCAUCCGAUACUGGAUGGCUUGAAUCCGGGAGAGGGAUGCGGAAUUCCAGGUGUAGCGGUGAAAUGCGUAGAUAUCUGGAGGAACACCGGUGGCGAAGGCGGCAUCCUGGACCGGCAUUGACGCUGAGGCGCGAAAGCCAGGGGAGCAAACGGG
rnacentral:rRNA from 1 species